rnacentral:rRNA from 1 species
UUGAACGCUGGCGGCAGGCCUAACACAUGCAAGUCGAGCGGUUGAGAGUAGCUUGCUACUUGAUGCAGCGGCGGACGGGUGAGUAACGCGUGGGAAUCUGCCCAGUAGUGGGGGACAACAGCCGGAAACGGCUGCUAAUACCGCAUACGCCCUACGGGGGAAAGGGGGGGAUCUUCGGACCUCUCGCUAUUGGAUGAGCCCGCGUCGGAUUAGCUAGUUGGUAGGGUAAAGGCCUACCAAGGCUACGAUCCGUAACUGGUCUGAGAGGAUGAUCAGUCACACUGGAACUGAUACACGGUCCAGACUCCUACGGGAGGCAGCAGUGUGGAAUAUUGGACAAUGGGGGAAACCCUGAUCCAGCCAUGCCGCGUGUGUGAAGAAGGCCUUAGGGUUGUAAAGCACUUUCAGUGGGGAGAAAGGUUUGUCACCUAAUACGUGAUGAAAUUGAUGUUACCCACAGAAGAAGCACCGGCUAACUCCGUGCCAGCCGCCGCGGUAAUAC